CAAGCCCCUAUCCCUUCCGCCCGGCCAUCUUAGUUUCCGACCACAAAACUAGCCCAUCUUUUUUAAGGUUUCCCAUUUAGGGCCCCAGAUAUGGGAUCUGAUUUUUUUCCCUUGGAAAAAAGAUUUCAUACCAAAAAAUUUAGAAACCAUUAAGCCAAGGAAGUCAGAUACUACUGAUCGACUGAACUGAACUGAAGCCAAGGAAGACGCCCUGCAGGUCCCUGGGGUACCUCGGAGACCGCACCAGUGCCAACAAGAGGAAUUCCUGAAGGAUUGGCUGAGACCUCAUUUACAACCACUGUUCCUGAUCUUACUGAUUCUCUUAAUGAGUCUUCAAAGACCUUCUUUUCUCUGGCUAAGGGUGAGGAAAAUGAUGCUCAGAGAUGCUACAUUUCUUACUCAAGGCAUACAGCUGUUUAGUGAGAGAAGUAUGUUUUGAAUCUAAAUUGAUCCUCCCAAAGCUUAACUCUCCUUCAGUGUUAGAACCUGUGGAACUAUGUGGAAUCACCUUAUAAACUACAAGGUAUUAUGUAAAUGUAAGUG
ensembl:lncRNA